AGUUCUCCUACGUGGACUCCGAGGGCGCCCCAGUGGGCGUGGUGCAGCUCACCUUCCUGCGGCUGCUCAGCGUCUCAGCCCGCCAGAACAUCUCCUACCCCUGCUCUGGGGAGGCCCAGGACGGCCCCCUGAAGCUCCGGGGGGCCAACGAGGACGAGCUGAGCCCGGAGACCAGCCCCUACGUCAAGGAGAUCCGGGAUGGCUGCCAGACCCAGCAAGGCCGGACGGUGCUGGAGGUUCGCACGCCUGUGCUGGAGCAGCUGCCGGUGCUGGACGCCUCCUUCUCGGACCUGGGGGCCCCUCCGAGGCGGGGCGGGGUGCUGCUGGGGCCUGUCUGCUUCAUGGGCUAGGACCUCCUCCUCCGUCUGACCCUGCCCGCCGACGCCAGGCCCACCUGAAAUCCCACAGCGUCGGCCCUGUGCCACCUCGCAGGAGGGCUUCUCGCCCUCCAGGGGCCUCGGGCCAGGGCCCUGAGAGCCCCCCAUCAGGGGGAAAGCAGGGGCGGAGCACCCCGGGCCUCGCGGCCCUCCCCCCAGAGCCUGUGCCCUGCUCGACAGCCGAGACCCUUAUUUAAAUUUUACCUCCCAGUCACCCCAAACACGUGGAAGAGAAGAGAAAGGACACUGUGUAUUUUGUAUUUAAAAGUAAUUAUAUUAAUUAUUUAAAGCGGGGGGGAAAAGAAAAUGACAAAAAAGAUAAAGAGAGAAAUGCCAACAAAAAUCAGCGGACUUUGGAGAUGGGGCUCUCCAGGGGCGGCCCCAGCACCCUCCUCCUCGCCUCAGGGCUUUCCUCAGUGACUGUGGGGGGCUGGGGGCUGACCCCCGCCUCCCUCACACCCACCCGCAGCACCCACUGUGAACGUUGGAAUACACGGCCUCCUUUGUCUCAGG